UCUACGGGAGGCAGCAGUGAGGAAUUUUGCGCAAUGGGGGAAACCCUGACGCAGCAACGCCGCGUGGAGGAAGAAGGUCUUCGGAUUGUAAAGCUCUGUCUUUUGGGACGAUAAUGAUGGUACCAAAGGAGGAAGCCACGGCUAACUACGUGCCAGCAGCCGCGGUAAUA
rnacentral:rRNA from 1 species